rnacentral:lncRNA from 1 species
AAUAUUCUAAAAACACAUUACAACCUUCACAUCUCAUACAACAUAAUUUUUUAGCAUAUCUCAUACAACAUAAUUAAAACCUGUUCAAAAGCACAUGACAAUACCCAACAGCCACCAAAGCAUUUUGGCCACUCCAUCAAAGUCGCAUAUGUUUGAGCCCAGCAACCUGAUAGUACAAUACCAUGUGUUAGAUUAUUUUUUUAUGCUCUAGAGAAACAAGAAGAAACAAUCUACCGAUACGAUAUUAGUUUUUGAAUGAUAGGGCUACUUUGCAACACCAAUCUUAUGUCCCAUAAUACAUUGCACUAACAAAACUCAAUGUCCCCAUCUACCUCAUUUCAUUGGCCAAGCAAGCAAGCAACUGAUGCUAUAGAUUGAAGGAGAAAAUAAAUGUGGUCCUUUUGCAGGACAGAGCAAGAAAUCCACAGUUUCUGAAGCAAAGAAACGCAACAAAACAGAACUAUCAAAGAUUUGUGUUAUGUACAAUUAAUCUUUAAACAUCUUACUUCAGGAAUAGCUCUACAUAUCACGUACUGACAAAAACCUCUGUACAAGAAACUAAAAAUCAAGGCAGUGCACAACUAGUUCAGAGUUGUUCUGAGUUCAGAAUGCUAUUUGAAUGAACAACUUGGCAUUCACGGCCAAGCAGAUAAUUCCCAUCCACCAAACUAUAGAUAGAUUCACAAACAACUAAAGUGGUUAGAGAUAUACACAGACAAAUUCUACUGACUAGACCUGCUCAUCAUGGAAGCAAAACCAAAAAUGGCAUUUACAGCCAUAAAACGACACUGCUAGUUUGGCUCCUUUUGCAGCUUAAGAAAGUUAUCAAGUAUAUACAUCAAACAAAUCUACUUGGUUUAUUUGCAGAUUAAGAAAAUGAGCAAGGAUAUACAUCACCAAAUACUUGUACUUACUAGCCAAAAUUAUUAUCUUUUGCAAAUUUACAGCCAUAAACAAGGGGUUGAUAGCAAGUUCCUAACUCAUUUCAGAUAUAAUGAAGUGCAUCGACCAUGUUGUCAAAUUGAAAACUUCAGUGCAUUCAUAGAACUGAUUUCAAUCUGAAAGUAAAAAAAAAAAAACAAAUUCAGUAGUAGAUACACGUCUGGGAUGGAACUGUAAAGACGGGAAGACCGCUGCAACUAUGACGAGGAAGUGGAUGACGACGGCCAGGACGGAUGGGAGGCAGGCAGGACGUGCUUCUAUUUGCACUAAUUCAAUCUAUUUGAAAUAAGAGAAAGAAGGGGGAGGAGGAUGGGGGUACCGUGGGAUGGAUCUGCCGCCAUCGCUCGCCUCCUCGCCGCCUAGCGCCGGUGCACCACACCACCGCCGCUCACCUCCUCCUCACCGCCGCACACCGUCGAGCCCUCCUCACUGCUGCUGCUGCCGGAGGAUAUCUCUCGCGGUCGCUGCCGAAGCGGUUGGC